rnacentral:lncRNA from 1 species
GGAUUUAUCAUCCAACAUGAUGCCAGCCUAGAGGCUCCGUGGGCCAGAAUGCAAGCAUAAAAUAAAAUAAAUACCUUUGGAUAAAGGAGAUGGCAAAGCAUCUCUCUCUAACCGAGGUCUCUGCCAAGGACACCCUGGCAGCCAGACAUGGCAAAAUGGAGUUUUUAAAGAUUAAUGUUUAAAGUGCAAGACAAAUUCCGUGACACCAAGUCUUCUCGUAAUUUUCAUUCUGUUGUUUUCCCACAGAAUAAACAAGUCAAUUGACAAGCCAAUGAGCUGUUGGAAAAUUUCGGCUGAUGCCAUCCAUCAGGUUACAGUUGGCCACAGGAAGACAUUCUAGGGACACUGGCCACAUGGAAUGUUCCUUCUCCAGAUUAAAUGCCGUUCCACCGAACGAACUGCUCUCGGCUGAAGUGGGGAAGCGUGAUUUGAUUAGUAUAGAUUCUGGAAUCGGGUCCCAGGACGGCCCUGGCUCUGGGUCUGGCCCCAUGCUGGGCGCUCAACAGAGAGAGUGGCUGGAUUCUCUGCAGCCCUGUGAGGAAUGCUCAGUCAUCAUCCCCCCAUUUUACAGAUGAGGAAACAGAGGAUCACUGAGGGACACUGAGGAUUACGCCAAGGCUCACGGUUGGUAAGUGGCCUCAUAGAGGUUAACACUUACUCCUCAGCUGUGAACGGCAUGUGAGCUGCUCAAGCACAGACUGUCUAAAGCUUACUCCUGAAGCAACUCUUCUGCCUGAAGAAGUUCUUCGAGGGGCAUCCUCAGUCCCUCUCAAACUCACAUUUAAAACCCGGGGUGUCCUCUGUGACUUUCCUUUUCUUUCUUUCUUUCUUUUUUGGUCUUUAAGGGCCACACCAGCAGCACAUGGAGGUUCCCAGGCUAGGGGUUAAAUCGGAACAGUAGCUGCCAGCCUAUACCACAGUCAUGGCCACUCCAGAUCUGAGCCACGUCUGCGAUCUACACCACAGCUUACGGCAACACUGGAUCCUUAACCCACUGAGUGAGGCCCAGGAUCGAACUUGUGUCCUCGUGGAUCCUAGUCAAAUUCUUUUCUGCUGCACCGUGACGGGAACUCCUUUGUGACUUUGCUUGUCUUUUUUUUGAUCACCAGUCUCCAUCCCAUUUCCACGGUGCCCAGUCUGCUGACUGGUACCCUGCCUAGUUCAUAUCAGAUUUCCAGGACCUGGGACAGUAGCUGGUUCACAGUAGGUAAAAUAUAAAUAACAUAGUAGUUAUCACUUUAACCAUUUAGAAGUGUACAGUUCCGUGGCAUUAAACAUAGUAACACCCUAUGCAACCAUCACCAUAUCUACACCCAAAACUUAUCAUCUCCAAUAAAAACUGUGCCCAUGAAACCA